rnacentral:sRNA from 1 species
CGAGUGCUGACCCGGGUGAGAGGUUCCCGCGGCUCAGGGAAGAUGGCGGCAGCCGUGGUGCUGGCUGCUGGGUUGCGCGCGGCGCGCAGAGCCGUGGCGGCCACGGGGGUGCGCGGGGGGCAGGUCCGAGGAGCUGCAGGUGUGACUGAUGGGAAUGAAGUGGCCAAGGCCCAGCAGGCAACUCCUGGGGGAGCAGCCCCAACCAUCUUCUCCCGGAUCCUGGACAAGAGCCUCCCAGCUGACAUUCUCUAUGAGGACCAGCAGUGUCUUGUGUUCCGUGAUGUGGCCCCUCAGGCUCCUGUGCACUUCCUGGUCAUUCCUAAGAAGCCCAUUCCUCGGAUUAGCCAGGCUGAAGAAGAAGACCAGCAGCUUCUAGGACACCUACUCCUUGUGGCCAAGCAGACAGCAAAGGCUGAGGGCCUGGGAGAUGGAUACCGACUUGGUGAGUGAAUUUUGGCCCUGGUCCCUCACCUAUGAAUUCUCAUUCCUACUUCUCAAUAUGAUCUUCAUUCUUCGACCUCUGCCAUGAUCCUGACUCCCUAACCCCAAGCUCAAUUUCAGUGAUCAAUGAUGGGAAGCUGGGUGCACAAUCUGUGUAUCAUCUGCACAUUCAUGUACUUGGGGGCCGGCAGCUCCAGUGGCCUCCAGGUUGAACCUGCCAACUGACUAAAGGACACCAGACUCUGGAUACUUGGAUGGAAAGGGAAAAAUGGACCCUGUGAUGCUAAUAAAA